GUGUGGUUGCUUGAGCAGUCGUUGUCUGGAGAGGCUCGGGUGUGGCUGGGCAUGCAGAACCUUCAGUACGUCUACUGGCUUGAUGGAUCACCCGUUGGAUACUUUCACUUCUCUCCUGGAGAACCUGACAGUUACGUCGACGGUAACUUCUGCAUUGAGCUGGCCAUGGACACGGGUCUGUGGGAGGACAGCAUGUGUUCUGUGGCCAAUUUCUUUCUCUGUGAGAUGAAAGGCAGUAAUUAUGUGGAUCCAGUCGUUCCUCCAGCGCCACCAG